rnacentral:lncRNA from 1 species
UUUCAGCAAGCUGUGAGUCACGUGGCAGCCACGCCUGUACAGCAUAUCACACAUGCGUGACCAGAUGUCUGCCACACAUGGAUCAUGUGCAAUGAAUGCGUGAGUCACGUGUCAGCCAUGACUGAGACAUUUGUCAGCCACACCAGAGCCAUGUUUCACCCAUGCUGGAGUCAGAUUUCGGCCACACCAGAACCACCUGCCACCCAUGCAUGCACCAUGCAUCAGCCACCCCUUAAGCACACGAAGGCCAUGCAUGAACCAUGUGUGAACCACACCUGCAUGAUGUGUCAGGCACGCCUGUGUCACGUUUCCACCUCACCUGAGUCAUGUGUCAGCCAUGCCUGAACAACGUGUGAACCACACCUGUGUCAAGGCUCAGCCACGCCAAGUCACGUGCCAGCCAGGCCUGCACCAAGUGCCAGUCACAGUUGAACCACAGGUCAGCCUCACUUGAAGCACGUGUCAGCCACACUGGCACAACUUGACUGGCAUGCCUGAACCAUGUGCCAACCAUGCCACAAACACGUGAUCCAUGCCUGAGCAACACCACAGCCUGCAUGAGCCACACCGAAGGCAUGUGUGAGCCAAGCAUCACAUAAUCAUGAAUCACGUGUCAACCACAAGGGAGCCAGUGCUGUGGCACGCCUGCAUCAUGUGAGAGCCAUGGCUGAGCUAUGCCUGAACCACGGAUGAAAGUUUCCUCUACGAUACGUGACCCACACGAGUACUGUGUGAGCCACAGCUGAAUUACACCCCAACCAUGUGUGAGCCAUGUGUGAACCACAUGUGAGACACCCUUGAAGCACAUCUGAACCACCUGUGAAACACACAUGAUCGAUGCUUGAAUCGCACAUGACCCACAAGGGAGCCACACAUGAAACACUGCUGAGCCAUGCAUGAGCCACGUGCCAACCAUGACUACGUAUGCGGGAGCCAUGUUUCAGCAAGCUGUGAGUCACGUGGCAGCCACACUUCUACGGCAUGUCACACACGUGUGACCACAAGUUUGCCAUGCAUGUAUCCUGUGUGAUGCAUCCCUGAGUCACGUGUCAGCCAUGCCUGAGACAUGUGUGAGCCACACCAAAGUCAUGUUUCACACAUGCCUGAGUCACAUGUCAGCCAUGCCGGAACCACCUGCCACACAUGCCUCAACCCUGCAGCAGCCACCAUUGAACCACAUGAAG